GCUUUCCUCACCCUCUGGAAUAGUCCUUGGCCCCUCCAUUCCCCCGCCAUGUUGGCUACUCAUUCUUCAGGUCUGAGCUUAGAGGCUCUUUGCUGACCCUCCAAGUCCGGGUGAGGGACAAGUGGUGGACACCACUGAGAUGACUUGGCAUUCUUGCCCUUGCGCCUCCCUCACCUUGAGUUUAAGCUGGAUCUAGAGACCUGCUUCAGAUUAAUGGAAUUUGAUGAUGCUUCUAACAGGAGGUUACAUAAAGGCCCUGGCUUUUGUCUUGUUUUGCUCUCUUGUUUGUUCACAGUUUCUAUGUCAUGAGCUUCCCUAUGAAGAGGCCAAUAUGACAAAAGACAAAGAAAGACCUCUGGACAACAGCCAGCAAGGAACCAAGGCCUUCAGUCCUCCAGGUUAUGAGGAAGGGAAGCCUCUAACAAUUCUAGAGAAAAGGCAACGUGAAGACACUAAGAGGAGAAGAUGGCCAUCUACAAGCUGAGAAGAUACCAAUCCUGCCAACAGCUUGAUCUUGGACGUCCAGCCUCCAGAAUGUGAGAAAAUAAAAGUCUGUUGUUUAAGCCACCCAGUUUGCAGUAUUUUGUUAUCACAAACUUAGCAAAC
rnacentral:lncRNA from 1 species